rnacentral:rRNA from 1 species
GAUGAACGCUGGCGGCGUGCCUAAUACAUGCAAGUCGAGCGAACAGACGAGGAGCUUGCUCCUUUGACGUUAGCGGCGGGCGGGUGAGUAACACGUGGAUCACCUACCUAUAUGACGGGGAUAAUUUCGGAAAACCGGAGCUAAUACCAGAUAAUAUAUUGAACCGCAGGGUUCAAUAGUGAAAGACGGCUUUGCUGUAUGUAAUAGCGGGUUCCGCGCUGGAUUAGCUAGUUGGGAGGGUCACGGCCUACCACGGCAACGAUGCGUAGCCGAGCUGAGGGGCUGAUCGGCCACACUGGAACUGAGACACGGUCCAGACUCCUACGGGAGGCAGCAGUAGGGAAUCUUCCGCAAAGGGCGAAAGCUUGACGCAGCAACGCCGCGUGAGUGAUGAAGGCCUUCGGAUCGUAAAGCCCUGUUAUUAGGGAAGAACAGAUGUGUAAGUAAAUAUGGCCGUCUUGACGGUACCUAAUCAGAAAGCAACGGCUAACUACGUG